rnacentral:rRNA from 1 species
AUUGAACGCUGGCGGCAGGCUUAACACAUGCAAGUCGAACGAGUGGCGGACGGGUGAGUAAUGUCUGGGAAUCUGCCUUAUGGAGGGGGAUAACUACGGGAAACUGUAGCUAAUACCGCGUACCAUAGGAUGAGCCCAUAUGGGAUUAGGUAGUUGGUGGGGUAAAGGCUCACCAAGGCGACGAUCCCUAGCUGGUCUGAGAGGAUGACCAGCCACACUGGGACUGAGACACGGCCCAGACUCCUACGGGAGGCAGCAGUGGGGAAUAUUGCGCAAUGGGGGCAACCCUGAUGCAGCCAUGCCGCGUGAAUGAAGAAGGCCUUCGGGUUGUAAAGUACUUUCGGCAGCGAGGCGUUAUCUACAGAAGAAGCACCGGCUAACUCCGUGCCAGCAGCCGCGGUAAUUC